AUCCCUCUCUGGUUCCUAAGCAUGGCCAUCAGGUAUCCACACGUCCGGGUGACAUGUGCCUCCCCGAGAUCCUGUUAUGCACUCGGCACACUACACAUGUGACG